UUUUAUCUAUUUCUAAAACUCAAAUACAAUCUAAAAAGGAUUUCGUUUGCAGACUCAGAAUACCAAAAAAAUGUGCUGCGGGCUAUGAUGCAAUCUUCAAAGAGGAAUUCCAACCAUAUUUGGAGCAGCCACAGCAUUGUUGUCCUGCGAAGUCCCCACCCCACCAGUGACUGUUGACAGCAGGGGCCGUAUUCUGUGCAUAUCUGCAUUCUGGGGCUUCCUUGUUUCUGUGGCUGGAAAAGCUGUUGUAGGACAGUUUAUGGUCUGCAGUAGUGUCUGGCUGGUGGCCUUCAAUGCAGCCCCUCAGAAUAAGAACCUGUCUCUCAAUUACCGGCGAAGACCGGACAAAAUUGGUGAGGGGAGGAGGAGUUUUCUAAUACCCUCAACAACUAAGACAGGUGACCUAACGACAGAGAGGGACUGGACAUCAGGUAUGCACAUAGCAGACCCUGACUUUGUUUCACAAAAACAGAGCCCCUGUGCAAAGGGAGGGAAGGCCUUUCCUAUGACUUGAACUAGAAAAUAGGCUUCCGUGUGACUCUACGUACAGAGUCCACCCGGGUGGGCAGGAAGAACAUGCCUCCACCAUGACUGUAGUAUUCACAAGCAUUAUUCUGGAUCCAGAUGGAACGCAAAGCUUAGAGCUGAGCAGCACAGUGAGGAGGUACAGGCUACACGCACACAGGCCUGCAAAAAAUUGCCCAAGCUGUGUGUGUGUGAGAGUUGAGUGUGUUGUGAAUGUGUUGUGUGUAUAUGUUGCAUGUUUGUGUGUGAAGGAUUUUGACUAGAAAUAUGAUUAUUUUCUAGAUUAUGUUGGAAGAAUUCAUAUUUUACUCUGUACUAAAUAUUUCUCUUCACUCAUAAGGCCCAGGUGUGUGGCGCAAGGGGAGGCUAGAUGAGAGAUUCAGAUUAAACAAAAGCCCCUGGAAUGGCGCUGAAGUUAUUGCAGAUGGUGUGUACAAUGGCAAAUAAGACAGCAAAGAAACCUGCCCAAGCUGAGCCGAUCCGAGUCUCCUCUGGUGUUGCGAAAUUUGG